rnacentral:rRNA from 1 species
GUGGGGAAUAUUGGACAAUGGGCGAAAGCCUGAUCCAGCCAUGCCGCGUGUGUGAAGAAGGUCUUCGGAUUGUAAAGCACUUUAAGUUGGGAGGAAGGGCAGUAAGUUAAUACCUUGCUGUUUUGACGUUACCGACAGAAUAAGCACCGGCUAACUUCGUGCCAGCAGCCGCGGUAAUACGAAGGGUGCAAGCGUUAAUCGGAAUUACUGGGCGUAAAGCGCGCGUAGGUGGUUUUGUAAGUUGGAGGUGAAAUCCCCGGGCUCAACCUGGGAACUGCCUCGAAAACUGCAUGACUAGAGUACGGUAGAGGGUAUUGGAAUUUCCUGUGUAGCGGUGAAAUGCGUAGAUAUAGGGAGGAACACCAGUGGCGAAGGCGACUACCUGGACUGAUACUGACACUGAGGUGCGAAAGCGUGGGGAGCAAACAGGAUUAGAAACCACGGUAGUCC